UACAGAGGGGGUCGGCGUUAUUCGGAAUUAUUGGGCGUAAAGGGCGCGUAGGCGGCCAUGCGUGUCUUCCGUGAAAUCCCUCGGCUUAACUGAGGACGUGCGGAAGAAACUGCAAGGCUCGAGUCCGGGAGAGGGGGGUGGAAUUCCCAGUGUAGCGGUGAAAUGCGUAGAUAUUGGGAGGAACACCGGUGGCGAAGGCGGCCCCCUGGACCGGUACUGACGCUGAGGCGCGAAAGCGUGGGUAGCAAACGGG
rnacentral:rRNA from 1 species